rnacentral:rRNA from 1 species
GACGAACGCUGGCGGUGCGCCUUAUGCAUGCACGUCGAGCGAAGCUUUUCAGUAGUUUACUACAGAAAAUGACUGAGCGGCGAACGGGUGAGUAACGCGUGAGCAAUCUACCUUAGUUACAGGGAUAGCCCGAGGAAACUCGGAUUAAUACCUGAUAUUCUUUAAAUUUCGCAUGAAAUUAAAAGGAAAGGUCAGCCGAACUAAGAUGAGCUCGCGUUCUAUCAGCUAGUUGGUGAGGUAAAAGCUCACCAAGGCUACGACGGAUAGCUGGUCUGAGAGGACGAUCAGCCACACUGGGACUGAGACACGGCCCAGACUCCUACGGGAGGCUGCAGCAGGGAAUAUUGCGCAAUGAGCGAAAGCUUGACGCAGCGACACCGCGUGUGGGAUGACGGAUCUAGGUUUGUAAACCACUUUCAGGAGGGAAGAAAAUGACGGUACCUCCACAAGAAGCCCCGGCCAACUACGUG